CUGUGCGUGAAACUGCUGUCAGAGAAUGAUGAUGUGCUGGCCGAAUACAGGAGCGACACGGUGGCGUUGCCUGCGGGCCAACACUCAGGCUGGAGUGAGAUCUCUCACACCUUCACAAAUUAUGGGCCAGGAGUUCGAUUUAUCCACUUUGAGCAUGGAGGCCAGGACACAGUCUACUGGAAGGGUUGGUUUGGUGUCCGGGUAACCAACAGCAGUGUGAUGGUGGAACCCUAACCUGAUCCAGGCCUUCCACCCCUCGGUCUAGGAGCCGUCUCAGCUGUGGGUCUUGCUCCGUAGGCUGGAGAAGGGCUCAGUUCUAUAGUUCUUACCCUUCCCUCAGCCCUCGACUCUUGGGGAAACCUGGAGGGGGGGUUGGGCUGGAAGCUAGGCUUUGCCUAGCUCUACACUCUGCACUGUCUGAUUUCUGUCUUUCUUCCUUGGGUGUCCCUCUCAUUCUUCUUAUACCCUGCUCUCAUGGGAACUCCUAAAGGGUGAGGGAAGAGUGCUCAUUAGCAUAUACCUGUAUAUUAUUUGCAUGUCUGCCCAACCAUUUUUCCUUCUGAUCAAAGUUUCCCAGUAUGAAUUAGAUCAGAAUGCCUGAAAAAAAAAAAAAGGCUUCAUUGGGCCCCAACCCUUCCAGUUUCUAGAACUGGGAUCAGUCCAGGCUCUGUUGUGCCUUGGGCCUCAUGUGAGGGCCUGGGAGCUGGGGCUAGUCUCAGCAGCCAUUGCCUGGUCUGGCCAGAGAACAAGGGCUGGGAUUGUGAAGGCUGGAGGAGAUAAGGAGAAAGAGAGUUGGGAACCUGGAGCCUGGCUGAUACUUGAGCAUUCUGGUGGUAGGAACCAGAGAAACCACGGGAAGUCUUUGUCUGGCCCAACCCGUUCCUUCAGCCCUCUUGGAAUGCCUCCCCCCCCCCCCCCCCGUGGGUGGGGUGGGGAGAAGGAGACACUUGGUCUAGCUCCUACAUCUUUGCAUAAAUCGGGGCUGAAACACCAUCCCAUCUCUCCCCAGCACUAUCUAUAUAAACUAAGCUCCCAUUCACUCUGCAGUUGCACCUUUGACCACGGUGGCCCAUGGGGAGGUGGGGCUACUCCCUGGCUAGAAAUGUGGUUGCUAACAUCCCUGGCUCUAUUGGUCAAGCGUCUUUUCCUCCAAAGGAUGGUCUCAACCCUUUAAUAGCCAAUGCUGGCUAGUUUCCUUCUUCUAUGGAGUUGGGGGCAGAUUCCUAGUCCAUAAGCUAUCUGACUUUUCUGCCACCCACCUUGGUUAAGGCUGAGGGGACCUGAAAUGUGCUGAAUUGGUGCCUCUGAAUGAGGACAACUAAUAAAACCACUGUGUCUGCU